UACGAAGGGGGCUAGCGUUGCUCGGAAUCACUGGGCGUAAAGCGCACGUAGGCGGAUUGCUAAGUCAGGGGUGAAAUCCUGGAGCUCAACUCCAGAACUGCCUUCGAUACUGGAAGACCUGAGUCCGGGAGAGGUGAGUGGAACUGCGAGUGUAGAGGUGAAAUUCGUAGAUAUUCGCAAGAACACCAGUGGCGAAGGCGGCUCACUGGCCCGGUACUGACGCUGAGGUGCGAAAGCGUGGGGAGCAAACGGG
rnacentral:rRNA from 1 species